UCCCUGAGAAUAGGAACUGUGCUGCUCUU
rnacentral:piRNA from 1 species